UAAUACGUAGGGUGCAAGCGUUGUCCGGAAUUACUGGGUGUAAAGGGUGCGCAGGCGGGGUGGUAAGUCAGAGGUGAAAUGCCGUAGCUCAACUACGGAACUGCCUUUGAUACUGCUGCUCUUGAGUGUGAGAGAGGUCGGCGGAAUUCCGGGUGUAGCGGUGAAAUGCGUAGAUAUCCGGAAGAACACCAGUGGCGAAGGCGACCGACUGGCUCAUAACUGACGCUCAGGCACGAAAGCGUGGGUAGCGAACAGG
rnacentral:rRNA from 1 species